ensembl:snoRNA
AACCUUUUGUAUUUCACAAGUGUGAUGAUUGGGUGUUCAGCCACUGUGUGGGAUGUACUUCCUUCAAACUUUGUCAUAACAUAAUUGGCACCUUACCCAUCGGGGG